rnacentral:lncRNA from 1 species
UCUCAUAAUUUGAUUCAACAAACUUAUAAGCAAAUUGGUUUUAGUUUAGAUACAAUAUAAAUAUGUUCAACCUUAGUAUGACCAUCACUGAAAGUAGACAUUGCUAACUAUAAUACAUGAGAUUUUAAUAGCAUGGCCUUAUGUUUCCUUUCAAUCACUCUAUCAUGGAAUCAAGCAUGAGGUAGAAGCCCUAGGCAAAUCUGCUGCAACAUAAUCUUCAGGUUAUCGAACAUGUUUGGCAUGCUGAAAUUAUCUAUUUGCAAAUAUCAAACAUACAUUAUAAACAAUGACAAUAGACAAAAAGAGAGCCAACAAGUUUUAGCCUUUCACUUGGCAUACAUCAUGUGAUUUUAGCCACAAGGAUGUCUUAGAUCAUUGAAAAACUUGGCUAAUUUUUCAACUACUUGCCUGGAACUUUCUGUUGUUUAACCUGUUGCAACACAAAUCAAAGUAUCACAUGGCCAACUUUUAGGUACCUAAACUAAACAUCCAUAAAUGUACAAAGUUGUAGCAAGGAUCUCAUAUAUAAUGAAAAAAAUUUCACUAAACUGGCAAUUUUCAUUUUUCAAUUGGUUUAUGCGAUUAGAGUAAAAGCACAAGAAGUAAUAUAUGUUUGUUAGGAAACUAAAAACUAUAGAAGUAAUUGAUUUCUCUUCAAUAAAAGCUGAAGUUAUUUAAUUUGGCAAAAAAAAAAAAAAAAAAAAAAAAAAAAAAAAAAACCUUGCUUUGUUGAAUCUAAUAAUAGGUUCUGAGGUGGGAUUCAUUAGCUAAAGAGAAAUUUAAGUGAAGAUCUUGGAUUUCUCUCUAGCAUCCCUAAUUGUUAUGCAGAAGCAUAAGCAAUUAUACUUGGCCAUAAUUACUACGCUGGCUUGGUAGAAAUCACAUCCAAGUAAGGGAACAAAACAUGCAUUUAUACACCCCAACAAUCAAGCAGGGUAAAAGUGAAUUCCAGACUUCUAGACUUACCUUUUUCGUGAUAAAUUUGAAAUCUAAUCUCACCAUUUAUAGAGAUACUAAAAUGAAUAGAAAAAUCAAACAAAUCAUGUUAGUGGAAUAAAAAGAACAAUAAAAAAUUUGGAAAAAAAAAAUCAUCCUUACAAUGUUGAAGAGAGAUAAUUUGAAUUGUUUUAACUUUCCACUAUAUAUUUAAACUUAAAGUUCUAGUUAGUUCAAAAGCAAUGGAGUAGGGCAGCCAUUUAAUGGUACUGCUAUUUUCGUAGUAUGGGUUUUAUUUUAUUUUUCAAAUAUAUAUUGGUUCUUCACAUGCAUUUAACACCUAUCAAAUGUGCAAGAGUGAUGAAAUUGAAAAAACAUGUGAGAGAAAUAGCGAUGCAUAGUUGUGGACCCGCAUUUUUCAUGUGCGUCCCCACUCAAUCGGAGAGACUCGCUUUUAUUUUGGUGAAAAAUUAGUUUUGGAAAAGUCGGAGUCGCCACUUAUUUUAUUUUAUUUUUAAAAGGGAAAAUAAAACAAGAAAUAAAAUCCUUAAAGAAGUAACUCCAUAGUUUUCGGAAAAACGUGUCUUUGAAAAACCCGAGUCUUGGUUAGGGGAUCAGGUUACCUAUUAGAAAGGUACCUUUAAAAUGUAGCAUCCCUCUAAGCCCUAAAGAGGUCUCUAAUGACUAAGUUGAAGGGAAUGUAACAAUUAAUUAAUUGAUUUAUGGUACCUAGGUAGGCUAGGGUGAUUUCAGAAUUAGCAUGUCAAGUUAGAAAAUCAAAUCAUGGUCAUAAAAAAGAGUCAAAGUGUGUACCUGAACUACUUCGCAAGCACUAUCAUAAAACAUCAAAGUUAGUAUAGAAAUAUAAUACACAACAUGUGUUUUAUCCAAGCAAAUCAAGCAUACUUCUAGGCAUCCAAGGAUUAUAUCAAGCAUGGGUAUAGUCAUCAAUAGUAUACGUGUUCAUAGAAUUCUUGAAAAUAAGUGAGAAGGAGCGUACUUGGAUAGCAAACUAACUUAUAAUGCGCUUCCACAAGACAUGGGGGUUAGAUCAUAGUUAUAAUAAUAAUUAGUAAAGGAAAGAAUCUUAACAUGUUUGGUAUCUAAAUAACAUAGAAAAAAUUAUCAAGAGUAUACAAAACACCAAUUAUCUCAUACAUCUUGUAUACAAUUCCUAAAAAAUAUAUAGAUAGAUAUAAUUACAACAAGUAGUAAAGGUGGCAGCAAAGAUGAGUUUUGAAAAAAUGAUUUUAUAUAGGGGUUUCAACAAUUCCCCAAUUGAUAUACACAAAUUCCAUUUAUUUGAGACCACAAGCUUGGAUUCAUGUCUUACUCAAAACCGUAGUUUUUAUUGAAAACUGAGAAAGAUGCGAACCGAUCAAAACAUGGUUGCAUAUUAUUUAAGAAAAUGAGAUUUUGUUUCUAAGGACUCUAAAUGAAUUUUUUAAAAUAGAUUUUCAAAUGGAUCUUUUGAGAAAAGUGUUUUGUUUUAAAAUAAAAGAAAUAAAUUUGAAAACAAUAAAACAUAAGAAACAAGAUACCAAGCAAGACUAAAGAAAACAAAAUCACAAUGUAAAAAUUUUUUAUAACCAAGCAAACCAAUAUGGUGAGAGUAGGCUCAACCAUCAUGGGUUUCCAAUGGCCUUAAGCAAGAUCACAAGAUACCAAUCAAGAACUAACCACUGAAACUUUAAAAGCAUUUAGAUUUAAGAUAAAUCAAUCAAGAGCCAAUAAAUGAGUUUUAAAAUGAGACUAAUAAUAUGGGAUUAUUACAAAUUGCCAACUAAGUUUCAAAUAAAUAAUAAACAUCGUCGGGAUCAUCAAAACAACAUCUAAUAAUUUAAAGAACAACAUAAACUGGUAUAGACUAUCACAAAUCAAUAACUAACUACUCAGAGACAAACAUAAAUUAACAUAGAUCUUUAAAACCAACAACUAAGGAUUCUGAGAAAAAUGAAAAUCAACAUGGAUCAAUCAAAAUAACAAUUUUUAAUUUUAAGGACAACACAAAUUUAUGGAUCAAUCAAAACCAAAAACUAACAAUUUAAGGAGCAACAUAAAUUAAUAUGAAUAUUCAAAGUUAAUAACAAAUGAUUUUAUGAAAUGCGCACACUAACCUGGGUAUUCAAAAUUAACAACAAAUAAUUUUUUUCUUUUUUUAAAAAAAAGAAUUAAAUUAUUAACUAAAUAGAAAAAUAAAAAAGCAACAAUUAGCUCUUCUCAAUGUGCUUAAUAUUUUUAUUUUUUAAAAUGCUAACACCAAAUACUCAUUACAUGGUUGCAUAUGUUCAGUCCCAUUAACUUUAUUUUAUUCAAGCAUACAUCCAAGCAUUUCUUUACAUGAGUAAUUGUAUUGUUUCCGUUUAUAAAUUUUUAUUUUUUAUUCAAUCAAACUAGGCCUCCAACACCAAGCUAUCCAUGGCAGCACAGAUUGUUUCAAUUCAAGGAUUUUUUUUUCUUUUUUUUUUCUUUUUUAUUCAAACCACUAAGUUAAUAUAUAUCAACAAUUAUGUUCCCUUAUUAUUUUUAUUUUUAUUUUUUAAUUCAAACCACUAUAUCUUAAUAUAUAGUAACAUUUCAUAAUUCUUAACAUUCACAUAGAAAUUCAUCAACUUAUUCAUGAGGGAACAAAUAACCUAAUAAACUAAAAAAAGAAACCUCAAAACUUUUGAACUAAAUAGAAGCAAUCAAAACUAAAUUUAAAGACUUGAAAACACGAAUAUAACCACAUAGGAUUAAUUAAACUAAGAAACAAUUAAAAAUUUUAAAGCACAUAGGCUAAAUGGGAAUAAUUUAAAACUAAACUUAACAACUUGACAACAUGAAUAUAUUGACAUUGGAAUUAAUUAAAUUAAAUAACUACAAUUCUAGAACAACUAUGAAUUGAAACUGAUAUUCAUGAAUCAAAACUUAAAUAAAAAGAAUUAACUUAACUCUUUCACACAAGCAUGGGCCACCCUCCACCAAAAAUUCCAGUAGGAUGUUCAAUAAUGGUGCCAAGGAUGCAUGGUAUGAUGACUUCAAAUGCUCUACACAUUCCCUAAAGCACUGCACGUUAAUGGAGAAAAAUUCCCCUUAACAACUUGUUGCCUCUUGUUGUAUCUAAAGAUCACCCCUUCAGACUCAACAAGAGUAAUCAUAUUAACCUUACAAGAUAAUUCAGGAAAUAAGUGAUAGUAAUGCUACUAAUUUUAUGAGCAAAUUUUAUUACUUUUUUGUGUUUACCACAUUUUUUACAUCCAUUGAUGUAAAAAAAAAAAAAGAGAGAGUGGCCAAUGAUAUAUAAAAAUGUUUUGCUCAAGAGCUCUUUCUUACGUGUUGAGUACUAAAUAAUUAAUAUCUUCGUAUAAUAAGACAAGUUAAUAUCAUUCACUUCUUUUGAGAUUUUGGUUAAAUACAUUUAAUUUUUAUUGGCUUAAAAUUUUAUCAAAUAACUCCCUUAUCCUUUUUAUUAUUUUACUCACUUUUCUUAUCACUCAAAAUAAGGUGGAUAUUUAAUGAAAUUUAAAAUCAAUGAAGAGUCAAACAUAUCUAAUCAAAACUUGAAAGGAAGAGGGUGAAAUUAAUCCUAACAAAAUUGGUAGUUCAAGGAAUUCAAAAUAGAUCGAUGAAUGCAAGUACCUUGUAACAUCCAAGGAAAAAGCUUGUGAGUGGAGAUAACCCCCUUUAUUCUCAAAAACCAUGCCAAUGAAAAAAUAGCUAUAAUCAUAAAGUUUAGCUCUAAUAGAUUUAGAAGCCCCUUAAAUCCCAAUAUCUACACUUUUGAGAGAAUUUGUAACUGUGUAAGCCAUGACAUCGCACCUCGCCCUAUAUUCAAUUUGGUCAAUCUUUUUAACUUCAAAUGUUGAAAUACCUUGAGUCGAGAAAACCCAUUUACUGACACUUGCAUUUCCUUUCCAAGGUAUUAGUUUGCCCUUAAUCUAAGAAUCAAUAAUUUCGAAAGCUUCUCCUAAACAAGCAUAGGAUCACAUUCUAGUGAUGGGACUUGGAGGGAAUUGAAGGGCUUCAGGCAAUUUUUGCAUGUGUCCCUUCAUUUUCAACUUAGAGAUAUAGAGCCAAGAGUUCAUAGCAAAUGAUGGAAUGAUAGAUCCUUCCGAUUUCUUAAGGAACAAAGGAUUUAAGACAAUGUAGCUUGGCAGUGGAGUUUGAAAACCUAACCUCUUCUAUAACAUAUCUUCCUUCUAAUUUCAACUUCUCAAAACAGGUAUUUAACUUGGUUGAAUCAUUUUGGCUCCAUUGCUUGAACCUUAUGCUUAAUAUAGUCUAAAGAUUUUAUAGGGUAUCAAUUUGCAAUGGGGCAUCAUCCCCUUGCCCCUCUAUAUAAAGAUAUCGCAGGUUUUCCAUUUUCCUUAUCAUAUUUGUCACUUCAUUGAGAUUGUUCAUAUCCAAAGUCUUUAAACUCCUUAGGUUGCCUAUAGAUGUUGGAAGCAUUUUUAAACCUGAAUGCCUUAAUCUCAAGUACCUUAAAUGAAUUAGUGUCCCAACUAUACUAGGUAGGCUUUCAAUUUCCAAACCUUCCAAAUCUAGCACCCUAAGCACUUUGAAGCAUAUGCCAAAAUGUACUUGCAAAAAAAUUAUUACCAAAAAUGAAAAAAUGGGUGAAUGACUUCAAUUUCUGAAUGCCAAGAUAGCAUGUCCCAAAACAAUUAUUUGCCAUUAUUUGAAACUACUCAUUCAUGAUGAACAAAAUUUACUUUUUAUAUUGAUCUCGUAUUUUGAAAAAAAAUGCAAAAUCACUUUUGCAUUAAAAAUGCAAAAUCGCCAUUUUCAAAGAUAAGUUCAUUUUUUUUACUUUGAAAAGUUUUAUACAAGAUAAGUUCACUUCUUUACUGUUGAACUUGCAUUUUUAUUUUUAUUUUUGAAAGACAAUUCUAUUAAUGGAUUGAUUUUUAAAAAAAUUAUAUCACCUAGUGCAAAAAGCCCAAACCUACCACUUUCAAACCAAUAACAAUAACACUUUUGCAUGCCAAGCUAAGCCUUCAAAUACAUCAUCCUAAUUGUCACUUAAUAUACAUAUAAUUGUACAAACAAACAUCUAAUAAUUUGAUUCAACAAACUUAUAAGCACAUUGGUUUUAGUUUAGAUACAAUAUAAAUAUGUUCAACCUUAGUCUGACCAUCACUGAAAGUAGACAUUGCUAACUAUAAUACAUGAGAUUUUAAUAGCAUGGCCUUAUGUUUCUUUUCAAUCACUUCAUGGAAUCAAGCACGAGGUGGAAGCCCCUGGCAAAUCUGCUGCAGCAUAAUCUUCAGGUUAUCGAACAUGUUUGGCAUGCUCAAAUUAUCUGUUUGCAAAGAUCAAACAUACAUUAUAAACAAUGACAAUAGA